AUGAACGCUGGCGGUCUGCUUAACACAUGCAAGUCGAACGGGAGUAGCAAUACUCCAGUGGCGGACGGGUGAGUAACGCGUGAGAAUCUGCCUUUUGGUCGGGGACAACCACUGGAAACGGUGGCUAAUACCGGAUGUGCCUGCGGGUAAAAGAUUAAUUGCCAGAAGAGGAGCUCGCGUCUGAUUAGCUAGUUGGUAGGGUAAAAGCCUACCAAGGCAAUCGAUCAGUAGCUGGUCUGAGAGGACGAUCAGCCACACUGGGACUGAGACACGGCCCAGACUCCCACGGGAGGCAGCAGUGGGGAAUUUUCCGCAAUGGGCGAAAGCCUGACGGAGCAAGACCGCGUGAGGGAAGAAGGCUCUUGGGUCGUAAACCUCUUUUGUUAGGGAAGAACACAAUGACGGUACCUAACGAAUCAGCCUCGGCUAACUCCGUGCCAGCAGCCGCGGUAAUACGGAGGAGGCAAGCGUUAUCCGGAAUUAUUGGGCGUAAAGCGUCCGCAGGUGGCGAUUCAAGUCUGCGGUCAAAGACUGGGGCUUAACCCUGGAAAGGCCGUGGAAACUGAAAAGCUAGAGUGCAGUAGGGGUAGAGGGAAUUCCCGGUGUAGCGGUGAAAUGCGUAGAGCUCGGGAAGAACAUCGGUGGCGAAAGCGCUCUGCUGGACUGCAACUGACACUCAGGGACGAAAGCUAGGGGAGCGAAUGGGAUUAGAUACCCCAGUAGUCCUAGCCGUAAACGAUGGAUACUAGGUGUGGCUUGUAUCGACCCGAGCCGUUGCCGUAGCUAACGCGUUAAGUAUCCCGCCUGGGGAGUACGCACGCAAGUGUGAAACUCAAAGGAAUUGACGGGGGGCCCGCACAAGCGGUGGAGUAUGUGGUUUAAUUCGAUGCAACGCGAAGAACCUUACCAGGCUUGACAUGUCGCGAAUCUUGGGGAAACCUAAGAGUGCCUUCGGGAGCGCGAACACAGGUGGUGCAUGGCUGUCGUCAGCUCGUGUCGUGAGAUGUUGGGUUAAGUCCCGCAACGAGCGCAACCCUCGUCUUUAGUUGCCAGCAUUAAGUUGGGCACUCUAGAGAGACUGCCGGUGACAAACCGGAGGAAGGUGGGGAUGACGUCAAGUCAGCAUGCCCCUUACGUCCUGGGCUACACACGUACUACAAUGCGACGGACAAAGGGCAGCAAGCCAGCGAUGGCAAGCCAAUCCCAUAUAAACCGUGGCUCAGUUCAGAUCGCAGGCUGCAACUCGCCUGCGUGAAGGAGGAAUCGCUGGUAAUUGCAGGUCAGCAUACUGCAGUGAAUUCGUUCCCGGGCCUUGUACACACCGCCCGUCACACCAUGGAAGUUGGCCGCGCCCGAAGUCGUUACCCUAACCGCUUGCGGAGGGGGACGCCGAAGGCAGGGCUGAUGACUGGGGUG
rnacentral:rRNA from 1 species